UGCAAGUCGGACGGGAUCGGAGAGCUUGCUUUCCAUGAGAGUGGCGCACGGGUGCAUAACACGUAUGUAACCUACCUUCGUCAGGGGGAUAGCCUCUCGAAAGAGAGAUUAAGACCGCAUAACAUUAUUGAAUAGCACUAUUUAAUAAUCAAAUAUUUAUAGGACGAAGAUGGGCAUGCGGAACAUUAGCUAGUCGGUAAGGUAAUGGCUUACCAAGGCUACGAUCCGUAACCGGCCUGAGAGGGCGGUCGGUCACACUGACACUGACAUACGGGUCAGACUCCUACGGGAGGCAGCAGUCGGGAAUUUUGGGCAAUGGGCGAAAGCCUGACCCAGCAACGCCGCGUGAAGGAUGAAAUCCCUCGGGAUGUAAACUUCGCAAGAAUGAGAAGAAUAAGUAGGGGACAAUACCCCCUAUGAUGACGGUAUCAUUUGUAAGCUCCGGCUAACUCCGUGCCAGCAGCCGCGGUAAUACGGGGGGAGCAAGCGUUGUUCGGAUUUACUGGGCGUAAAGGGCGCGUAGGCGGUCAGCACAAGUCAGUUGUGAAAUCUCCGAGCUUAACUCGGAAAGGUCAACUGAUACUGUGCGACUAGAGUGCGGAAGGGGCAACUGGAAUUCUUGGUGUAGCGGUGAAAUGCGUAGAUAUCAAGAGGAACAC
rnacentral:rRNA from 1 species